AGGCUUUCCAGCCAAGUACGAAUGAACAUUUAAGGACGAAGGAGAUUAAAGAAAUCGGAGAGGGCGCUUUGAAAUUUCAUGCAUUAAGUAGACGGCUUGCACACAAAGAGGAUUUCUCGUCGUCAAAAUACUGGAGUGUGAACAAGAUAUCUGUUGAAGAGAUAGAUAUUCAACCGGUUGUUGUUUUAAGAAGUGCUGCACAGCUGGCGGGAUUGCUUGACGUGUUGCAUGACAAUUGCCUUGGAAUACAGUCAUUUGAUAACAAAUCCGUACUCAUCAGCGUGCGCAACGGAAAGGUACUAGGUGACGUCAAGAUUAGAGAAGAACCUUUUGUGUGUGUUCCGCCAAAAGAUAAAUCUGACGACAUUUACCGGUUUGGGGUAUGGCUGAGGAAUAUCAGUUUAUUGUCAAAAAGACAUCUUUAAACUCAUUUUAGUUUGAUUUUGUUUUACUUUUCUUAUUUGAUAAGUAUACCUUUUUCCAUUUUGAAUUAAUUUUGUUGUUAAUGUUUUCCAUUUAUUAAAUUCAAUGAUAAUCUUUUUUUGAUAUUUGAUUUCAGUUUGUUGUUAGUGUUUAUUGACUUGAAUAAUUGAAUUUAAAGUAUACCUUUCUUUCAUUGUAGGGAUUUUGUGUUGUAAAUGCCUUUUUGUUAAUUUCACAGAACAAUUUUCUUUGAGUUUAGGACUUAUUUAUUAUAAUUGUUCUUUUUUUGUUGUUUUGUUUUUGUUUUUGCUUUCUGUUAAUUUUACAGAAUUUCUUUUUUUUUAUUUUUGCUUUUGUUUUCUGUUAAUUUUAUAGAAUACCUUUCUUUGAAUUUGAAUGUUAUUUUGUUGAAGAUGUCUUUUCGUUUAUUUCACAGAAUAAUUUCUUUGAUUUUGGGUUUUAUUUCUUGUUAUAAUAUUAAAUUCACAGUAAUCUUUAUAAGUUGGUUUUAAAUUUACUUUUAUUGUUAUGGUUAUGAUGCUAGUUUACCUUUGCUGACUUCAAAACACGAUUUUUGCAUUUACUUAAAAAGUGAAAGUUGACUUUUCUGGUAUUUCAAUUUCGUUACGCUUGAGUUCGACAUAUAUUAGAGUGUUGGCAAGGUCUCUAUAUGAAUGUUAACGUAAUAAUGCUACUUUGAAUGUCAGUGCAAUUCUGAUUACGAUAUAAGGUGAUCUCCAGGUAAUAAAACUGAAGUCAGAAAGCGGUUUCGAUAUUUGCUUAGGACUUACAGUUUAUUGACAGAAAUAUAUCCUUUUUUAAUACAUUUUAUUUAUUUUCGUGUAUUUUACACUUUUUAUUUUACAAUACAUUUUUAUUUCAGUUUUGAAAUCAUUCUAUAUUUAGUGUUUUCUUUUUAUUAAAUUCAUAAUACACUUUUCUCUUUGAUUGCAUUUUGUUGUUAGUGUUUAGUGAUUGGAAUUUUGUUUUUAAAUAUAUACCGUUUUUUUAUGUUUUAGGUUUUAUUUUGUUGUAAGUGUUUUUUUUAUUAUUCCAUAGUAUACCGUAUUUUCCGGACAAUAGGCCGCGGCCUAUACGUUUAUAAUAGUGAACUUUUCAGGUGUGCGGCCUAUGCGUCGAAGCGGCCUAUACGUCAUUUUAUUUUUUCUGAAAGGGCCUUUCAUGCGGCCUAUACAUAAUAUCAAUAUUACAUCUCGGUAUUGGAAAUAGAUUUUAACACGAAAUCGAUAUGUUUUAUGUUCAUAAUUAAAAGAAUUCCCAUCUUUGUAAAAUCUCCACGAAAGACAAACUGUGAAAUAAGCACAGUUGUUUCGUAUCUCUAUUGUUCUGUAGACAAUAGACGAAUAGACGCAAACAGACAAUUACCGGUAUUGAGUCAAAUAUGUGUAAUCUGAUUACCGAACAGAACAGUGUUUUCUGUUACAUACCUCAAAGUAGCGACCAGCAUACCGAUUUCCAUUUUCUUCAGCGUAUGCAACCAAACAAUUUUCUCUUUUUUGUCGGUGUUGCCAUAUUUUGCUUAUACGAUCGAAUCGGGUAAAAAGUACAAAACGGACAAUUUUGCCGUGAGGACCUUUGAAAACAGCUCACGAUAACUUACACUUCGGGCUUAAUAGUUCACUGCAUUCGACGGAUUAACCAGUGUGAUUACCAGUAAAUACAACUGACUUCAAUGACUGUUUAUCGAUGACAGCUAGUCUUUAAACAACAUGGUCAAGUUCGCCGCAUUGCGGAGUAUUGGCCGCGGCCAAUAUACCGGAGCGGCCUAUACUAUAAAUUUCAUUUCUGAUAUAGUUAAAAUAUACGGCUGCGGCCAUUACGGUGCAGCGGCCUAUUGUCCGGAAAAUACUUUUCUUUCGUUUUAGAUUCAUUUGAUGCUAAAAAAUAUUCAGUUUGUACUUUAAUUUAGAUCUCCUUUUUUUGUUCGUUUAUUUUUUUUUUCACAAUACACAGUUAUUUACAUUUACUGAUGAAGUUGUCCAGUCAGACUGUAACUCGUUGUUGUUUUCUUUUUACGGUUGAGCAUGCUCGCUUGCACUCGACAUAUGUCAUCAAAAUUCUUUGUCGAUAUUUGCGUGUAAUAUCUUUAAUGUGCAUAUAUGAAAAUCUACGUUGUGGGGAGAAGAAACUUAAAAGGUUCUCGCCAAGGAAAAUAAUCUUUGCAUUGGACCAGCAGUCGGCUUAAUUGUAAAAUGAAGACACACUCUCAAGAAUAUUAUUUAAUUCAUGAAUAUAAUAUCAAAAUUAUCUGCGUCGUACCAGCUGCAAAUUAUGCUUUAUCGCCAUCUGUAGAUCUAUCAUUCAGCCAUAAAGUCUCUUCGCUGGACCAGCUACUUUGCCUAACAAUGACCUCUCUGUCUCUGUCUUUGUGUCUUACUGUCUCUCUGUCUCUCUCUCCGAUUGGGCUAAAACCCCGGAGCUGUAGAUUCGGAUGCGAACGCUCUGCAACUGAGAUUUCAUGACACAUUCCACUUUCAGUGAAGAAAUUUUGUCUAAUGGUAGAGUGUCCACUUGCGGUGCGAAAGGUCGUAUGUUAGAUUCAAUGGAUUAUUUUCGUGCUGAUUAUACAUCUUAAGGGGAGCAGCCGUCGAUGAGCGCCGAUAAAUAUUUCUUGUUAAAUCAAGCAAAUCCUUAUAUCAUCAAAUUACAUUUGAACGAACUUUCCAAAGGUUUAAAACAGCAUUAAUUAACUAUUUUCAGGAACUUAAAUCGACAACCUGCUGCAUAUAGUUUUUUUUUCACAAAGCUAAGCUUGUUUAAACGUUUAUGUUAAUUUGUUUUCAAUGUCCACGCAUAAGAAAGAGUGACAAUUUUUCUAUUGCUUUUACGAGUGGAACUCCUGCCUUGUAACACGCAAAUUUAAUAUACAACUUGUGGCUUUAUCCAAAUUGUACGGUUUACGUUCGUUUUACAUCACAGCGUUUAUGAUCAUUUUAUUUUAAAUUUACGAGCUUUUAUUUCAACCAUGCAAAAUACUGAAACAAGUUAUUCGCAUAGGUCUUAAUGUACACUUAAUCAUAGACAUAAUUUGCACAAAACAUAUGCUUCAGGUCAUGGAAUUUAUCGAAUUUAUUGUUUUACUGCUAUACAUUAUAGGCUGAUCAUUUCAACUUUUGAAGUUGAACCAAUUCCAAAAUGACCUUUUUUGAUCAGGAAAAAUAGUAUUAAGGAUGUAAGGAAAUGAAACACAGGAAAACAGUCAUAAAAAUGUGAUGGCACUGGGUGUCAAAAUUCAGAACCAAAUUUAUAUAUACAUAUUUCUAGAACAAACUCGUCAGCAUUGGAAUUUAAAGGGUUUGAAUACUAAACAUGUGUAUCAAGAAAAAAAACAUUCACAGGGGAUAAGUAUCUGCAACACAAUGUUACUGCUAAUGGGUGGGAUACUUUAUAACAUCACUUUUUGUUUGAAUUUCAUAAACAAUAACGGUAAUUAUUUUUGAAAUGCUUCUUGAACUGUUUAAUUAUGUCAUGCAUGCACGUGGGUAAAGAAAGUAUCCUAGUUAUUCGUUUUAUUGAUUUUCUUUCAGAUAAAUUUGCAAUGUUCUCUUUAAUUAAAAUCUACAGGAAGCUGCUUCUAAAUAUCUAAUUAGUUUUAGAGUUUGGGUUGACUUUCUUCGGAGGACUAUUUUCCUGUAUUGCAUAGGUAACGAAAGAUGAUUAAUCAUCUGUAAAACUUUGUUCGAAUUUGUUGCUAGUAAAUUGUUCAUUGCAUUAUGUUGUUGUUUUAUGUUUUUGUUUUUUUGUUGUUGUUUUUUUGACGGUUGUCGAAGACAUACCGGACAAUGCAACCACACACAAACACCU